CCUACGGGAGGCAGCAGUGAGGAAUAUUGGUCAAUGGACGAGAGUCUGAACCAGCCAAGUCGCGUGAAGGAUGACUGCCCUAUGGAUUGUAAACUUCUUUUAUCUGGGAAUAAAAUGUUGCACGUGUGGGAUUUUGUAUGUACCCUAUGAAUAAGGAUCGGCUAACUCCGUGCCAGCAGCCGCGGUAAUCCGGAGGAUCCGAGCGUUAUCCGGAUUUAUUGGGUUUAAAGGGUGCGUAGGUGGUUUGUUAAGUCAGUUGUGAAAGUUUGCGGCUCAACCGUAGAAUUGCAGUUGAAACUGGCAGACUUGAGUAGAGGAGAGGUGCGCGGAAUUCGUGGUGUAGCGGUGAAAUGCAUAGAUAUCGCGAAGAACUCCGAUUGCGAAGGCAGCUCACUGGACUGCAACUGACACUGAGGCUCGAAAGUGUGGGUAUCGAACAGGAUUAGAUACCCUUGUAGUC
rnacentral:rRNA from 1 species